CUCAGAGACAAAAAGUCGAGGCCCGGCUGUCGGCCGCAGAAAGGAGGCGGAGCCUGGAUGAACGGGGUCAUGUGUCCGACCGAGCUGACGCCUCGCUGCUGCUGCUGCUGCUGCUGCUGCUGGGAGAAGAUCUGCUGGUCAGCCACCUGAGACCGCCCACUGACAGGUGCCCGUACGAGCCGCCGGCUGCUGAGCUGGACCUGGAGCUGUUGAUGUAGGCCACCAGGGAGCUGGGCGACGUCCGAAUCAUGGUCUGCAGGUCGAUGCUGCCGUCCGACAGUGGAGGGAUCGACAUGGUCCGCUUCCUGUUCAGCCUGGAGGUCAGUCUGGGACUGGGGAACCUGGACACUGUGGACACAGGGAUGAACAGGGGGAAACUGUUUAAAUAAUGUUCCACUUCCUGUGAUGAAUGGACCAAUCAGAAAACUGACUCCACCCCUUCCACCUGAGCAGGAUGAGAAACCGUGUCAGGUGUUAAACUGUCCAACAGUUGGCGCUGCAGCAGCAGAGAAAUCUGACCAGUUACUCACCGUCGAUGGGUGUGAUGUAAUCAGUCAGAUGGGCGGCUCCCGUGGCUCCGCCCCCUGACAUCAGCAGCUCAUUGCCGUACGGACCACGGUGACCUGUCAUCAGGUGGUAAAACUCUGCCGGGGAAGAACCAGGAGCAGCAGGGUGGAGUCCAAAGAGAGUGUGCUCCUUCAGCUGCUCUUGACACACUGACAGAGUGCAGUGGGAAUCUCUCAGGCUGAGUUGGGAAUUCUACUGCAGACGAAGAACAGAAAGAUGGAUGAACACAUAUCUUGACAAAGGUCACAGUCACAGGUCAUUAUCUCCACUGGGGGGCGGAGUUGGUGUGGUCAGGGGAGUACACAGUUGGACACAUGGUGGGGCCUUUAUGGUCUCCCAGGACCCCAGACCUGAUGAAUGAUACCUACAAAUCUGGCUUUAUUUCUACUGACAACUCAAGGCCCUGAGAGGUGAGAGCAUUCGACUCCUGAGCUGAUCAUCUGUCCUGGAGCUCCUACUGAACCUCUCACAGAGACGGAGACUCUUUGUCCCACAUUAAAAGUCAACUUGCAGGAUAAGUUGACUGAAUACACGUAAAGUUGUCAUUUUCAGAUUUCCAGCGUCAGUGUGUGGCCUCGGAGUUUUCGCUCACACCAUGUGUUAAUGACCUCAUUUAUCAGAGGAUUAAAAGGUGAACAUUCGGCAGCAGCAGCAGUUUUAGCGGCAGCAGCAGCAGCAGCAGCAGAGCUGGUUGAGGCUCCUCCGCUGCUCAUGUUGUCAGCAGCACAUUGUUAACACUCUGUUUGUGUAAUUUAGCUACUUAAAAAAAAACACACAGCGCAAAGGCUUCAGAGACUGAUUGCUCCGUCUGGUAAUCAGCCAAAGCUGCGACACUCGCCUGAUUUAUCGCCCCCUGCCUUAAUAGCGCUGCUUAACACACAGGUUUGUCCAGAUUAAGUAAUUACCUUAAAGCUAAAGUUUAUUAUGUGAGGCGACGCCGCCGCGGUGAUAAAGCUGCGCUGUCGCGGUGAGGUAAAGAAAAGGCCUCGCAGCCGCUGAAUGAGAGCGAUAAUUAAAAUACAAUGAAUUAAAUAGUGGCUGCUGGAAGCUGUCAGUGCCCUCCGCUGCUAACAUCCAUAUUACCCCGCUGGCACCCCCUGCAGGGGGGCGCCUGGGAUUAAACCCAGACCAGGAAUCAUCAGCAGAUGAGCAGCAAAAUAAGGAAAUGAAGCAAAGACCUAAUUCUUCUCCCAAAGUGAGGAGAGAGGGUGAAGACCUGAGCUAAGAAUAACACCUGAGAACACAUUAGCUCUGAAAGCUGUUGGUACUGAUGUCCUAAUGAGGCAGAGGAGGAGGCCUGCAUCUCCUCUGGUUCCUCUUCCUCUGCAGAUAUACAGAUGUUGACCGCAGGGGAAUCUUCUGAGCGAUGCACCUCCUGCUGAUAAAUGCUUCGCAGGUGGGAGAUGAGGACUUUUUUCCUGCUUCAGAGGGGGCCCAGACCUCCGGAUGGAUCCAACAAGAUCGAUGGAUGGAGAAAACUGAGGUUGGUAAAAUGCUUCUCUUUUUCUUAUACAGUGGUACGUACAAAAAAAAAAAAUCAUCUUUAAACUCACAGAGUAACAGCAGAUGUUGACUCUCUGCUGCCUCCGUCAGGAAGUUCAGGUUUGUUAUUUUGUGAUUUUGCUGUUUAAAAUCUGCAGCUGACCACAGGGGGCAGCAGAGAACCAGCAGCCCGGGCCCAUCAGCAGACACAGACUGUCAGUGAAAUCUGACACCGUGACUCGAGUGACGCUUUUGUACGAACAAAUGCUCGAAACUCGCCCUCCAAAGCCUUGAGACUUGACAUGAACUCGAAGUUUGGGACUUGUGAACCAUUUUUAUCCACAGCGUAAAGCACUCAGGCUGCUACUGCAGUAUUACUGCUACCAAGUCUUGCUCUAAUAUUUCUACAUUCUAUCACACAGCGUUUUCUAGACCAGGUUUUCAACGAGAGAACGUUCAGUUCAAUCAUUUGAAACUGGAGACUGACUUGAAAUGACCGCCUCAAAGACUUGGGACUCGUCUUGGAUUUGGAAAGAAAAUGACUUGUGAACUUGUGAACGUCUCUGUUUGUUACUACCGUCAGUAUCUUGAAUGAUACUGUAGCAGGAAGUAUUAACAACAACCAGAGACAUCAGAAAACUUGAGAAGAUUAUGCUCAGAUCGAUUUAUAUGGACUUGUAGUCAGAGAGUUUGAAAACUCCAAGAAUCAGUCAGACAGUGACAAAAAAAAUUAAAGCGAUUUAAAUGUUUCUGGUUGACUAAUUCUACGUCUCUCACAGUGAAAACAUUGUCUUUUUGAAGUCAAGCUGAUCGUGUUUACAAAGAAAACUCAAUCAGAGGAGAAUUAAAGUCCCAGCCUCAGUUCUGAUGAAGGUUCUUGUCAUAGCAGGAGGUUCCUGAUGAAGAAACAGGAGCUCAGCUCCUCCUACGUUCAGACCAGGCUGGAGCUUCAGACUGAGGAAACUGCUGAUCAGACGAAUUGGAAUCAAUCUGCAGCGACAGAGUAACUCACCAGGGAAAAAAGAGAACCCAAAAAGAACCAAGUGUUAAACACGACCAAAGGAACAGGCUGGAAUUUCUCUGGACUGAAGGCUGAGGAAAUGAGGAGCUGAUAGGAGACACAAUAACACAGCUGUCACCCAGGGAAAAAACACGACGCAAGUUCAGCAGAGCACUGUCGUACAGAAGUCUGGGAGGAAGUCGGAGGUCUGAGCUCACUGGUCCACUGCUGCCCCCUGUGGUUACCGGGAAAUCUAACCACUGCCAUACAGACGUUACUGGAGCCACAGUCAGUACUUUAUACAUUUCAAUUAGUGAAACUAAUUUUAUUCUCAGAUGUUGGCACUAACGUUCUACUGGGAAGUCUCUCACAGAGAUGAAUUUGAUGACAGGUGGCGCUCUACUGCAUACUUCUGACAGGUCACUAAUGUCUGGAUAUUCAGCCCUGCCCAGUCUUCAUGCAGCUUUCCCAUUGGCUGAUUCACACUCCCAGAGUGGAAAAGGUCACAGACUUUUUUAGACCUUAUCAGGACAGAGAUGAGAGAAUUGUUUGAAAACGUCACCAUGACAACAUGGCGUCCACGUCACAUCAGCGUUGAGGCUGUUACGUCACUGUUACAGUCCUUUAAGACAAGUAGGAAUUUCAAAACAGCUAAUGUUGAUCCACCUCCAUCACAAAUUGUCAAAUCAGUGACACAAACUCUCCACAGGAGGCGAUAGACAAGCAGCCACUCCAUAUGUUUGAUUCUGUCAAGAACAUCUUUGUAUUUUUUCUGUUAAGGGAGAACCGGUCCAAUCCAGUUUCCAGGACUGCCGUCUGAUUUACUGGUUUGUCCUUAUCAGUCCUCCGUCCCCCGGCUCAGUCAACCUGGAGCUUCUUGAAGGCCGGAGUCACAGAGUUCAGCAGGUCAGAGGUUCUGGUCCUGAUUCAUUGUGAAAAGAGACAAAAACUCUCAUAAACUCUGCAGAGAUCAGGAUGUGAACAGGUUGGAUACACUUAUCUCCGUUUUUACGACACCUUUUUGAAGUUCAGGUUGAUUCAGGCUCAGGUUUCAAAGCUGCUGCAGCAGCCACUACUU